ACACAGUGUCUGCCCUGUGGUAAGAGCUCCAAAAUUGUUGUUGCCCAAAUGAAUGGGAGGAUGAGUAAGUCAGAAAAAAAUGGUGGUCCUGAGAGCUGACCUGUUGGUUCCUAUUAGGAUGACGUUGUCUUAACCUCAGGAGACCCUGCUCUUGGCUUCCCUGCCACCCCCCACCCCACUCUCCUCCCCACAUUGUUGGACAGACACCUCAUUUCCCCACUUCUCUAAAACGUUUUGGAUUCAGAAAAUAGCAAUCAUUUAGGAAAAUGGGUAAUUACUGAGGGCUCAAUCACGGAAAACAUGUAACUCCUGGAGUCUUUGGUGAAAUGUCAAGGACUUGAUUAGAACAAGCCCAGUCCCUGGUGAUUUGAAGAAAAUAUGAUCUGUUUGUCCUAGAGGGGGAAGAAGGAUCACUCUUUGUUUACAAACCAGCCUGGCUAAUCCCUUCUGACAAUAUGGGAAGUCAUUCUGCUUGGCUGAAGUAUUAUUUCAAGGCUCCCUUAAGGAAGAACUAUCUUCUACUCAAUUAAAGCAGAGCCUGAACUUGUUCUGACCCCAUCAUUCCACAGCCAGGAAAGCAGGCUUGGCUCCUUCCAGCGGGGUGGCUGCCCGGGCUCCAGGCCGAGUGCUGUUACAUCAGGACGUCUCAAGCAUUUACUGGGGAACCAUCACUUCUGUCUUUUUAUCCAUUUCCAAGCUUCCUGUGGUGGCAGAAUUCACGCUAGCAAUAUGGGCACGUGAUGUACUCCAUUCAAGGCAUGGCCAAUCAGAGCAUUCCAUUAGUCCCUGGCCUUGUGAUUGGUUCAGAGGUGGAAGUGUGAUCAAAUCCAGGCCCACAAGCAUCAGCCGGCCCCAGUGUCUUUAGAGAAACUGGCAGAAUAAGGAGCUCUCUUUCCACUGGUCUCAUGAAGUGGUAAAAUUCACAGGUAACUGGAAUAAAAUCCAAAGUACUUAUGGAAAAAGGAAGUAGGAUGGAGAUCUUCUGGGUUAUAGAAGUAACUGCCUUCAGGCAUGGCUGCAUCCAGAAACUGAACUGAUGGCAUUGGGUCUUGACCGCUCUCUUCAUCUCUCAGCCUGGUUUUCUGCAUGUAACAGGCAAGAUGGAUAUUGGAAGCCCAGGUCAGUGUAACAAACCCAGAACAGGUGGAAGGAAGUCUUCUGAUUGGCCUGGCUUAAGUCGUGUGCCCAUGAUGGAUCCAAUCAUGUGGUUAGGUCAUCUGGCCAGAUCCAGCCCCUUGGACAUAGAGCUGUGAGAAAACAUUCGUUCUUUUAGAUCCAACUCGUGGUGCAACCCUCAGGAAAUUUCCCUCUGCCAGCUGCCCAAGUUGGCCAGACAACUUAUCCUCUGAUCAGGGGGGGUCACACAUCAUCCCAAGAGAAUGGUUAUUUUUUUCUGAAGGCUGUAGGGCAGUAGAAGGAGAGGGAAGAGGCUUAAAAUAAAACACAUACACACACAGUAGACCAGUGAGUAAUACUGAUGGGCUCACACAGACUUCAGGAUUAAUUUAUAGAUGCUUCUUAAGCUGAAGUGACUUGUUCAGGCAACUGGGACAGGCCAGGCCACAUUCCCUCGGCUCUCCAUCUACUGAACCUUUCUGUCCUCAGCCCAGCUAAUGCAGAGGAAGAAAAGAACUGACACUGGCCACAGGCCCCCGUGUGAUCACGCUCCAGGUCUCUGCACUCAAGCCUCCCGGAAUAUUAGAGUCCUAAUACUUUUUUUCAAAUUUCUUUAGUUGUUUUGUUUUUUUCAAUCAAGGCAAAGUUUACAGAGUGCAAUGUACCUGUCUUUAGUGUGCAAUGCAAUGACUUUUGAUGAACCUA